GCGUGGAUGAUGUGGUUAAUUCGAUGCAACGCGAAAACCUUACCACCUUUGACAUGUACGGAAUCCUUUAGAGAUAGAGGAGUGCUCGAAAGAGAACCGUAACACAGGUGCUGCAUGGCUGUCGUCAGCUCGUGUCGUGAGAUGUUGGGUUAAGUCCCGCAACGAGCGCAACCCUUGUCAUUAGUUGCUACAUUCAGUUGGGCACUCUAAUGAGACUGCCGGUGACAAACCGGAGGAAGGUGGGGAUGACGUCAAGUCCUCAUGGCCCUUAUAGGUGGGGCUACACACGUCAUACAAUGGAUGGUACAAAGGGUCGCCAACCCGCGAGGGGGAGCCAAUCCCAUAAAGCCAUUCGUAGUCCGGAUCGCAGUCUGCAACUCGACUGCGUGAAGUCGGAAUCGCUAGUAAUCGUGGAUCAGAAUGUCACGGUGAAUACGUUCCCGGGUCUU
rnacentral:rRNA from 1 species